rnacentral:snoRNA from 1 species
GUGAUGAUAGGAACCCGGCGGACAUGUGACUGUCGGCAUCCUAUCUGA